CCUACGGGGGGCAGCAGUCGAGAAUCAUUUACAAUGGGGGAAACCCUGAUGGUGCGACGCCGCGUGGGGGAAUGAAGGUCUUCGGAUUGUAAACCCCUGUCAUGUGGGAGCAAAUUAAAAAGAUAGUACCACAAGAGGAAGAGACGGCUAACUCUGUGCCAGCAGCCGCGGUAAUACAGAGGUCUCAAGCGUUGUUCGGAAUCACUGGGCGUAAAGCGUGCGUAGGCUGUUUCGUAAGUCGUGUGUGAAAGGCGCGGGCUCAACCCGCGGACGGCACAUGAUACUGCGAGACUAGAGUAAGGGAGGGGGAACCGGAAUUCUCGGUGUAGCAGUGAAAUGCGUAGAUAUCGAGAGGAACACUCGUGGCGAAGGCGGGUUCCUGGACAUUAACUGACGCUGAGGCACGAAGGCCAGGGGAGCGAAAGGGAUUAGAUACCCGUGUAGUC
rnacentral:rRNA from 1 species